AAAAUUAAGGAAAAAAUCAACUGAAAGUAGAAAAAACACGUUCUUCAACUCAACAGAACAGAAAUAAACUGAAGAAAAACGAAAGAAAAUUUAUUUCCACUCUGCAGAAAAUUUCGAGAGUUUAUUUAUGAAAAAACAAAAAGGGCCACCAAUAUUUAGUGGGAAAAGUGGCAUACCUAAUGCGACAACAGAAAACUGCACAAACGUACGACAGUCUGCCUAAGCUACAGUGGAACGCAUAAAACAAAUUACUUCAUAAAUAUUUAAUAAACAGAACACUUUAUUGCAUUGGAUAUUCAUUACGGAUGUACUAAAAAGCAUCCCUAGAGUGGAUUGUGGACUUGAAUGAAAUAUUACAUUUUUGAAAUCGGGAAAAUCAUUUCAAAGUAAAAUUUUAAGUAAAAUUAG